AUUACCUCAGUUCAUCCUCCCAGCACACCAAUGAGGUGCAGGUGUUAUCUUACUUCCUUUCCCAGAGGUGAAGUUCCAGCAGCGAUUUGUGUUUCCAGUACAGUUUGGUGGCCCAAUGAUAGAGCACUGGUGGAAUUCCAACCUCACUUUCCAAAUUUAUGUAAAGAAAACUCCACAGAAAAAGCCAGAAGUCAUUGGAUCUGCAUCACUUUCUUUGCGAGCUGUCAUUCAAUCAGAGCUGCUUUCUUUCAGUGAUCAACUUCCACUGCAACAAGAAAAUGGUCAGUCUCCAUUUGGCCCCCUCAAGGUAACCAUGGAGCUUAUUACAGAUAACAAAGAUUUCACUGGUAUCAAUACCAAGUUAAGUGGCAACACCCAUUAUACCCCACUUUGUGCUCCUACAAGUCCAAAUAAGGCACUACCAGAACUUAACCAAGAUAUGACCAAAAAUCUACAAAUCUUAAAUCAAAUUCAUGAGGAAACUGCAAAGAAAGCACAGAACUUGGUGCUCCCCAACCAAAAGUCACCAAGCCCUGUAGCACCACAUCCUUCAACCUUUGUAGCUACACCAGCCUCCCAUAAUUUAGUCAAUCAGACAAAUAGGACAACAAAAGAGAGUGCUUUGCUGUUGCAUGUGCUGUUGAUGGUGCCAGAUGGGAAAGAUUUUAUUAGUGGAGAAUCUGAGAAACAAUCACCAUGCAAUGUUUAUUUAAACUGUAAACUCUUCAGCACAGAGGAAGUCACCAGAUCUGUCAUCGCAUGGGGCACAACACAGCCGGUCUUUAACUUUUCUCAGGUGAUUCCUGUCUCUCUGUCUUCCAAAUACCUGGAAAGGCUUAAGAACAAUGUGAUGGUAAUUGAAAC
rnacentral:sRNA from 1 species